rnacentral:lncRNA from 1 species
CAGGAGCCACCCUCUGGUUACUUUAUCCUUAAGCCAACUGCCAAAUAGCUCAAGAACAGAAAAGCUGCACCAACGUCUAUUCCGUGUGUAGAGUACUGCCCUUCAGCUGCAGCCUCCCUCUAGCAUCUUCCUGUACCAUUUUUUCCUCUGUAAACUCAGCCCAUGAACAUUCAGGUUUCAGUCCAGCUGGCAGUAAAGUUGGUGCAUGAACAACUCUCAGUCCUCCUGAUAUGCCUGGAGUUGCCUGAAGGAAGAAAGUGUCGCUGUCUGAACAGGGAGCUAGAAGGGAGGAGAGGAAACUCUUUCCCCUGA